AUGGCCACAUCAGGUUGAAACAAAGGUUCCCAUACGAUCACUGAAAUUAAGCAAUAUCAAGCCCAGUCAGUACCUAGAUGGGUGACCACUUGGGAAUACCAGGGGUUGUAA